AGAGUUUGAUCAUGGCUCAGAACGAACGUUGGCGGCAUGGAUUAGGCAUGCAAGUCGAACGAAUGCUGGGGUAGCAAUACCUCGGCGGAAGUGGCGAAAGGGGCAGUAAUACAUGAAUAACCUACCCUGGGGUUGGGCAUAGCCGUUCUAACGGACGGGUAAUUCCCAGCGAUUCGGCGGUGCCGGCAUCGGUAAACCGGGAAAGAAUUUCGCCUCGGGAGGGGUUCAGGAGCUAUCAGCUAGUGGGUGGGGUAAAGGCCCACCACGGCGUAGACGGCUAGCGGGUGUGAGAGAACGACCCACGCCACUGGCACUGAGAGACGUGCCAGACACCGACGGGUGGCUGCAGUAGAGGAGAUUCGUCAAUGUGCGCAAGCCUGAACGAGCGAUGCCGCGUGAGCGAUGAAGGCCUUCGGGUUGUAAAGCUCAAAAGGGAUGAGAAAGGGCAAUUUGAUCGAAUCCUAGUAAGCUCGGGCUAAGUUCGUGCCAGCAGCCGCGGUAAUAC
rnacentral:rRNA from 1 species